rnacentral:rRNA from 1 species
UACAGAGACUGCAAGCGUUAUUCGGAUUCACUGGGCGUAAAGGGUGCGCAGGCGGCCGUGUGUGUGAGGCGUGAAGGCCCGGGGCUUAACCCCGGAAUUGCACCUCAAACUACAUGGCUAGAGCAUUGGAGAGGGUAGCGGAAUUCACGGUGUAGCAGUGAAAUGCGUAGAUAUCGGAAGGAACACCAGUGGCGAAAGCGGCUUCCUGGUCCAGCACCGACGUUCAGGCACGAAAGCGUGGGGAGCAAACAGG